rnacentral:rRNA from 1 species
UACGGAGGGGGCCAGCGUUGCUCGGAAUUAUUGGGCGUAAAGGGCGCGUAGGCGGCUUGGUAAGUUUGAUGUGAAAUCCCAUGGCUCAACCAUGGAACUGCAUCUCAUACUGCCGAGCUAGAGUCUGGGAGAGGGAAGCGGAAUUCCCGGUGUAGCGGUGAAAUGCGUAGAUAUCGGUAGGAACACCAGUGGCGAAGGCGGUCUCCUGGGGCAUUCUUGACGCUGAGGCGCGAAAGCUGGGGGGAGCAAACGGG